rnacentral:rRNA from 1 species
CCUACGGGUGGCUGCAGUGGGGGAUAUUGCACAAUGAGGGGAACCCUGAUGCAGCGACGCCGCGUGGGUGAAGGAGUGCUUCGGCAUGUAAAGCCCUAUCGGCAGGGAAGAAGCAAGACGGUACCUGACUAAGAAGCCCCGGAUAACUACGUGCCAGCAUCCGCGGUAAUACGUAGGGGGCGAGCGUUAUUCGGAUCCACUGUGUGUAAAGGGGGCGUAGACGGCCAAGCAAGCCAGGGGUGAAAGCCAGGGGCACAACCCCGGCAUUGCCCUUGGAACUGCAUGGCUGGAGUGCGGGAGGGGCAGGCGGAAGUCCUGGUGUAGCGGUGAAAUGCGUAGAUAUCAGGAGGAACACCGGCGGCGAAGGCGGCCUGCUGGACCGCGACUGACGUUGAGGCUCGAAAGCGUGGGGAGCGAACAGGAUUAGAUACCCGAGUAGUC